UUUUUUGGAGAGUUUGAUCCUGGCUCAGAGUGAACGCUGGCGGCGUGCCUAAUACAUGCAAGUCGAACGAUGAAGCUUUUAGCUUGCUAGAAGUGGAUUAGUGGCGCACGGGUGAGUAAUGCAUAGGUUAUGUGCCUCAUAGUCUAGGAUAGCCAUUGGAAACGAUGAUUAAUACUGGAUACUCCCUACGGGGGAAAGUUUUUCGCUAUGAGAUCAGCCUAUGUCCUAUCAGCUUGUUGGUGAGGUAAUGGCUCACCAAGGCUAUGACGGGUAUCCGGCCUGAGAGGGUGAACGGACACACUGGAACUGAGACACGGUCCAGACUCCUACGGGAGGCAGCAGUAGGGAAUAUUGCUCAAUGGGGGAAACCCUGAAGCAGCAACGCCGCGUGGAGGAUGAAGGUUUUCGGAUUGUAAACUCCUUUUGUUAGAGAAGAUAAUGACGGUAUCUAACGAAUAAGCACCGGCUAACUCCGUGCCAGCAGCCGCGGUAAUACGGAGGGUGCAAGCGUUACUCGGAAUCACUGGGCGUAAAGAGCGCGUAGGCGGAAUAGCAAGUCAGAUGUGAAAUCCUAUGGCUUAACCAUAGAACUGCAUUUGAAACUGUUAUUCUAGAGUAUGGGAGAGGUAGGUGGAAUUCUUGGUGUAGGGGUAAAAUCCGUAGAGAUCAAGAGGAAUACUCAUUGCGAAGGCGACCUGCUAGAACAUAACUGACGCUGAUGCGCGAAAGCGUGGGGAGCAAACAGGAUUAGAUACCCUGGUAGUCCACGCCCUAAACGAUGAAUGCUAGUUGUUGCGGAGCUUGUCUCUGCAGUAAUGCAGCUAACGCAUUAAGCAUUCCGCCUGGGGAGUACGGUCGCAAGAUUAAAACUCAAAGGAAUAGACGGGGACCCGCACAAGCGGUGGAGCAUGUGGUUUAAUUCGAAGAUACGCGAAGAACCUUACCUAGGCUUGACAUUGAUAGAAUCCUAUAGAGAUAUGGGAGUGCCCUUUUAGGGAGCUUGAAAACAGGUGCUGCACGGCUGUCGUCAGCUCGUGUCGUGAGAUGUUGGGUUAAGUCCCGCAACGAGCGCAACCCUCGUCCUUAGUUGCUAACUAUUUGGUAGAGCACUCUAAGGAGACUGCCUCCGUAAGGAGGAGGAAGGUGAGGAUGACGUCAAGUCAUCAUGGCCCUUACGCCUAGGGCUACACACGUGCUACAAUGGGAAGUACAAAAAGAUGCAAUAUUGUGAAAUGGAGCAAAUCUCAAAAACUUCUCUCAGUUCGGAUUGUAGUCUGCAACUCGACUACAUGAAGCUGGAAUCGCUAGUAAUCGCAAAUCAGCAAUGUUGCGGUGAAUACGUUCCCGGGUCUUGUACUCACCGCCCGUCACACCAUGGGAGUUGUAUUCGCCUUAAGUCGGAAUGCCAAACUGGCUACCGCCCACGGCGGAUGCAGCGACUGGGGUGAAGUCGUAACAAGGUAACCGUAGGUGAACCUGCGGUUGGAUCACCUCCUUUCAAGAGAA
rnacentral:rRNA from 1 species